rnacentral:rRNA from 1 species
GACGAACGCUGGCGGCGUGCUUAACACAUGCAAGUCGAACGGAAAGGCACUGCUUUUGUGGGGUGCUCGAGUGGCGAACGGGUGAGUAACACGUGAGUAACCUGCCCUUGACUUUGGGAUAACUUCAGGAAACUGGGGCUAAUACCGGAUAGGAGCUCCUGCUGCAUGGUGGGGGUUGGAAAGUUUCGGCGGUUGGGGAUGGACUCGCGGCUUAUCAGCUUGUUGGUGGGGUCGUGGCUUACCAAGGCUUUGACGGGUACCCGGCCUGAGAGGGUGGCCGGCCACAUUGGGACUGAGAGACGGACCAGACUCCUACGGGAGGCAGCAGUGGGGAAUAUUGCACAAUGGGCGGAAGCCUGAUGCAGCAACGCCGCGUGCGGGAUGACCGCCUUCGGGUUGUAAACCGCUUUCGCCUGUGACGAAGCGUGAGUGACGGUAAUGGGUAAAGAAGCACCGGCUAACUACGUG